UACGUAGGGGGCUAGCGUUGUCCGGAAUCAUUGGGCGUAAAGCGCGCGUAGGCGGCCCGGUAAGUCCGCUGUAAAAGUCCAGGGCUCAACCCUGGAAAGCCGGUGGAUACUGUCGGGCUCGAGUCCGGAAGAGGCGAGUGGAAUUCCUGGUGUAGCGGUGGAAUGCGCAGAUAUCAGGAGGAACACCAAUGGCGAAGGCAGCUCGCUGGACCGGUACUGACGCUGAUGCGCGAAAGCGUGGGUAGCAAACGGG
rnacentral:rRNA from 1 species